CGGCUCAGUAACACGUGGACAACCUACCCUUAGGACAGGUAUAAACCCGGGAAACUGGGUAUAAUCCCUGAUAGUCCUCGACUGCUGGAAUGCAUCGAGGCCGAAAGCUCCGGCGCCUAAGGAUGGGUCUGCGGCCUAUCAGGUAGUAGUGGGUCUAAAGUACCUACUAGCCUACGACGGGUACGGGUUGUGAGAGCAAGAGCCCGGAGAUGGAUUCUGAGACACGAAUCCAGGCCCUACGGGGUGCAGCAGGCGCGAAAACUUUACAAUGCCGGCAACGGCGAUAAGGGGACCUCGAGUGCCAGGUUACAAAUCUGGCUGUCGUGAUGCCUAAAAAGCAUUGCAUAGCAAGGGCCGGGCAAGACCGGUGCCAGCCGCCGCGGUAACACCGGCGGCUCGAGUGGUAACCGUUAUUAUUGGGUCUAAAGGGUCUGUAGCCGGCCGGAUAAGUCUCUUGGGAAAUCCAGCAGCUCAACUGUUGGGCUUCCAGGAGAUACUGUCUGGCUCGAGGCCGGGAGAGGUGAGAGGUACUUCAGGGGUAGGGGUGAAAUCUUGUAAUCCUUGAAGGACCACCAGUGGCGAAGGCGUCUCACCAGAACGGACCUGACGGCAAGGGACGAAAGCUAGGGGCAC
rnacentral:rRNA from 1 species